GACGAACGCUGGCGGCGUGCUUAACACAUGCAAGUCGAACGGAAAGGCCCCUUUGGGGGUACUCGAGUGGCGAACGGGUGCGUAACACGUGCGUAACCUGCCCUUGACUUCGGGAUAACUUCAGGAAACUGGGGCUAAUACCGGAUAGGAAUCCUUGCCGCAUGGUGGGGGUUGGAAAGCUUCGGCGGUUUUGGAUGGACUCGCGGCUUAUCAGCUUGUUGGUGGGGUAGUGGCUUACCAAGGCUUUGACGGGUAGCCGGCCUGAGAGGGCGACCGGCCACAUUGGGACUGAGAUACGGCCCAGACUCCGACGGGAGGCAGCAGUGGGGAAGAUUGCACAAUGGGCGGAAGCCUGAUGCAGCAACGCCGCGUGCGGGAGGACGGCCUUCGGGUUGUAAGCCGCUUUCAGCAGGGGCGAAGCUUGUGGUGACGGUACCUGCAGAAGAAGCACCGGCUAACUACGUG
rnacentral:rRNA from 1 species